UACGUAGGGUGCAAGCGUUAAUCGGAAUUACUGGGCGUAAAGCGUGCGCAGGCGGUUUUGUAAGUCUGACGUGAAAUCCCCCGGGCUCAACCUGGGAAUUGCGUUUGGAGACUGCAAGGCUGGAGUCUGGCAGAGGGGGGGUAGAAUUCCACGUGUAGCAGUGAAAUGCGUAGAGAUGUGGAGGAAUACCGAUGGCGAAGGCAGCCCCCCUGGGAUAACACUGACGCUCAUG
rnacentral:rRNA from 1 species